rnacentral:rRNA from 1 species
UACAGAGGGGGCAAGCGUUGUUCGGAAUUACUGGGCGUAAAGGGCGCGUAGGCGGCCUUCUAAGUCGAACGUGAAAUCCCCGGGCUCAACCCGGGAACUGCGUCCGAUACUGGAAGGCUUGAAUCCGGAGAGGGAUGCGGAAUUCCAGGUGUAGCGGUGAAAUGGCGUAGAUAUCUGGAGGAACACCGGUGGCGAAGGCGGCAUCCUGGACCGGCAUGACGCUGAGGCGCGAAAGCCAGGGGAGCAAACGGGA